UAGGGAAUCUUCGGCAAUGGACGAAAGUCUGACCGAGCAACGCCGCGUGAGUGAAGAAGGUUUUCGGAUCGUAAAACUCUGUUGUUAGAGAAGAACAAGGACGUUAGUAACUGAACGUCCCCUGACGGUAUCUAACCAGAAAGCCACGGCUAACUACGUGCCAGCAGCCGCGGUAAUACGUAGGUGGCAAGCGUUGUCCGGAUUUAUUGGGCGUAAAGCGAGCGCAGGCGGUUUCUUAAGUCUGAUGUGAAAGCCCCCGGCUCAACCGGGGAGGGUCAUUGGAAACUGGGAGACUUGAGUGCAGAAGAGGGGAGUGGAAUUCCUUGUGUAGCGGUGAAAUGCGUAGAUAUAUGGAGGAACACCAGUGGCGAAGGCGGCUCUCUGGUCUGUAACUGACGCUGAGGCUCGAAAGCGUGGGGAGCAAACAGG
rnacentral:rRNA from 1 species